AUGCAAGCUCACUUCUCUGAUCUUGGAAUGGUGCGAGCUGACUGCGAGGAGAUCAACUGGAUCCAAUCCACCGUGUACUUCGCGUUCCACUCCAGCUCCAAGCCAUUAGAGCUGCUCUUAGACAGGGGUACCAAGCCGGAGAGCUACGUGAAAGCCAAGUCCGACUACGUGCAAGUGCCAAUCCCAUUGCACGCCUGGGAGAGCACAUGGACAUGGCUGGCGAAGCAGGAGGCCGGGAUCCUCAUCUUAGAUCCCUACGGUGGCAGAAUGGGGAGCGUCGCGCCGUCUGCGACGCCUUUCCCGCACCGGAAGGGGAAUCUGUACAACCUACAAUACUACUCCUCCUGGUCUGAGAAUGGAACAGAUGCGUUUGAUAAGCAUAUGGCCUGGGUCAGGGGUCUGUACAAGCAGAUGGAGCCAUAUGUAUCCAAGAACCCAAGAACAGGGUAUGUGAACUACAGAGACCUGGAUCUUGGCAGGAAUGAAUUGGGCGACAAUGUGACCAGCUAUGCAAAGGCUGGAGUUUGGGGGGAGAAGUACUUCAAGGGCAAUUUUGAGAGGUUGGCAGCAGUCAAGGCCAUGGUGGAUCCUGAUGACUUCUUUAGAAAUGAGCAGAGCAUCCCACCUCUUCCUGCUGCAAAGGGAUGGACCUCCAUGUGA
rnacentral:rRNA from 1 species